AACGAACGCUGGCGGCAGGCCUAACACAUGCAAGUCGAGCGCGCCCUUCGGGGUGAGCGGCGGACGGGUGAGUAACGCGUGGGAACGUGCCCUUCUCUGCGGAAUAGCCUCGGGAAACUGAGAGUAAUACCGCAUACGCCCUUUGGGGGAAAGAUUUAUCGGAGAAGGAUCGGCCCGCGUUGGAUUAGGUAGUUGGUGGGGUAAUGGCCCACCAAGCCGACGAUCCAUAGCUGGUUUGAGAGGAUGAUCAGCCACACUGGGACUGAGACACGGCCCAGACUCCUACGGGAGGCAGCAGUGGGGAAUCUUAGACAAUGGGGGCAACCCUGAUCCAGCCAUGCCGCGUGAGUGAUGAAGGCCUUAGGGUUGUAAAGCUCUUUCAGCUGGGAAGAUAAUGACGGUACCAGCAGAAGAAGCCCCGGCUAACUCCGUG
rnacentral:rRNA from 1 species